GUGGAAGCAACUGUUGUAGAUGGCAAUGGGACAGAGACGGGCCAUAUAAUUGUGACAACAAUUGGUGGUCGAAAUGGCUACUCAAAGCAGACAAUCAGCUACAUGGCAGAACGUGCUGUUGGGCAUGGAUCAUUUGGAGUCGUGUUUCAAGCAAAGUGCUUAGAGACUGGGGAAACUGUGGCUAUAAAAAAGGUUCUCCAAGACAAAAGGUACAAGAACCGCGAGCUGCAAACUAUGCGGCUUCUUGACCAUCCAAAUGUUGUUGCAUUAAAGCAUUGCUUCUUCUCAACCACCGAAAAGGAUGAACUGUAUCUCAACCUGGUUCUUGAGUAU
rnacentral:misc_RNA from 1 species